rnacentral:rRNA from 1 species
UACGUAGGGUGCAAGCGCUGUCCGGAAUUAUUGGGCGUAAAGAGCUCGUAGGCGGUUUGUUGCGUCGGCUGUGAAAUCCCGAGGCUCAACCUCGGGUCUGCAGUCGAUACGAGCAAACUAGAGUGUUGCAGGGGAGACUGGAAUUCCUGGUGUAGCGGUGAAAUGCGCAGAUAUCAGGAGGAACACCGAUGGCGAAGGCAGCUCGCUGGGACGGUACUGACGCUGAGACGCGAAAGCGUGGGGAGCGAACAGG